UAAGCGACUAAGCGUACACGGUGGAUGCCCUGGCAGUCAGAGGCGAUGAAGGACGUGCUAAUCUGCGAUAAGCGUCGGUAAGGUGAUAUGAACCGUUAUAACCGGCGAUUUCCGAAUGGGGAAACCCAGUGUGUUUCGACACACUAUCAUUAACUGAAUCCAUAGGUUAAUGAGGCGAACCGGGGGAACUGAAACAUCUAAGUACCCCGAGGAAAAGAAAUCAACCGAGAUUCCCCCAGUAGCGGCGAGCGAACGGGGAGCAGCCCAGAGCCUGAAUCAGUGUGUGUGUUAGUGGAAGCGUCUGGAAAGGCGCGCGAUACAGGGUGACGGCCCCGUACACAAAAAUGCACAUGCUGUGAGCUCGAUGAGUAGGGCGGGACACGUGGUAUCCUGUCUGAAUAUGGGGGGACCAUCCUCCAAGGCUAAAUACUCCUGACUGACCGAUAGUGAACCAGUACCGUGAGGGAAAGGCGAAAAGAACCCCGGCGAGGGGAGUGAAAAAGAACCUGAAACCGUGUACGUACAAGCAGUGGGAGCACGCUUAGGCGUGUGACUGCGUACCUUUUGUAUAAUGGGUCAGCGACUUAUAUUCUGUAGCAAGGUUAACCGAAUAGGGGAGCCGAAGGGAAACCGAGUCUUAACUGGGCGUUAAGUUGCAGGGUAUAGACCCGAAACCCGGUGAUCUAGCCAUGGGCAGGUUGAAGGUUGGGUAACACUAACUGGAGGACCGAACCGACUAAUGUUGAAAAAUUAGCGGAUGACUUGUGGCUGGGGGUGAAAGGCCAAUCAAACCGGGAGAUAGCUGGUUCUCCCCGAAAGCUAUUUAGGUAGCGCCUCGUGAAUUCAUCUCCGGGGGUAGAGCACUGUUUCGGCAAGGGGGUCAUCCCGACUUACCAACCCGAUGCAAACUACGAAUACCGGAGAAUGUUAUCACGGGAGACACACGGCGGGUGCUAACGUCCGUCGUGAAGAGGGAAACAACCCAGACCGCCAGCUAAGGUCCCAAAGUCAUGGUUAAGUGGGAAACGAUGUGGGAAGGCCCAGACAGCCAGGAUGUUGGCUUAGAAGCAGCCAUCAUUUAAAGAAAGCGUAAUAGCUCACUGGUCGAGUCGGCCUGCGCGGAAGAUGUAACGGGGCUAAACCAUGCACCGAAGCUGCGGCAGCGACGCUGAUGCGUUGUUGGGUAGGGGAGCGUUCUGUAAGCCUGCGAAGGUGUGCUGUGAGGCAUGCUGGAGGUAUCAGAAGUGCGAAUGCUGACAUAAGUAACGAUAAAGCGGGUGAAAAGCCCGCUCGCCGGAAGACCAAGGGUUCCUGUCCAACGUUAAUCGGGGCAGGGUGAGUCGACCCCUAAGGCGAGGCCGAAAGGCGUAGUCGAUGGGAAACAGGUUAAUAUUCCUGUACUUGGUGUUACUGCGAAGGGGGGACGGAGAAGGCUAUGUUGGCCGGGCGACGGUUGUCCCGGUUUAAGCGUGUAGGCUGGUUUUCCAGGCAAAUCCGGAAAAUCAAGGCUGAGGCGUGAUGACGAGGCACUACGGUGCUGAAGCAACAAAUGCCCUGCUUCCAGGAAAAGCCUCUAAGCAUCAGGUAACAUCAAAUCGUACCCCAAACCGACACAGGUGGUCAGGUAGAGAAUACCAAGGCGCUUGAGAGAACUCGGGUGAAGGAACUAGGCAAAAUGGUGCCGUAACUUCGGGAGAAGGCACGCUGAUAUGUAGGUGAAGUCCCUCGCGGAUGGAGCUGAAAUCAGUCGAAGAUACCAGCUGGCUGCAACUGUUUAUUAAAAACACAGCACUGUGCAAACACGAAAGUGGACGUAUACGGUGUGACGCCUGCCCGGUGCCGGAAGGUUAAUUGAUGGGGUUAGCGCAAGCGAAGCUCUUGAUCGAAGCCCCGGUAAACGGCGGCCGUAACUAUAACGGUCCUAAGGUAGCGAAAUUCCUUGUCGGGUAAGUUCCGACCUGCACGAAUGGCGUAAUGAUGGCCAGGCUGUCUCCACCCGAGACUCAGUGAAAUUGAACUCGCUGUGAAGAUGCAGUGUACCCGCGGCAAGACGGAAAGACCCCGUGAACCUUUACUAUAGCUUGACACUGAACAUUGAGCCUUGAUGUGUAGGAUAGGUGGGAGGCUUUGAAGUGUGGACGCCAGUCUGCAUGGAGCCGACCUUGAAAUACCACCCUUUAAUGUUUGAUGUUCUAACGUGGACCCGUAAUCCGGGUUGCGGACAAGUGUCUGGUGGGUAGUUUGACUGGGGCGGUCUCCUCCUAAAGAGUAACGGAGGAGCACGAAGGUUGGCUAAUCCUGGUCGGACAUCAGGAGGUUAGUGCAAUGGCAUAAGCCAGCUUGACUGCGAGCGUGACGGCGCGAGCAGGUGCGAAAGCAGGUCAUAGUGAUCCGGUGGUUCUGAAUGGAAGGGCCAUCGCUCAACGGAUAAAAGGUACUCCGGGGAUAACAGGCUGAUACCGCCCAAGAGUUCAUAUCGACGGCGGUGUUUGGCACCUCGAUGUCGGCUCAUCACAUCCUGGGGCUGAAGUAGGUCCCAAGGGUAUGGCUGUUCGCCAUUUAAAGUGGUACGCGAGCUGGGUUUAGAACGUCGUGAGACAGUUCGGUCCCUAUCUGCCGUGGGCGCUGGAGAAUUGAGGGGGGCUGCUCCUAGUACGAGAGGACCGGAGUGGACGCAUCACUGGUGUUCGGGUUGUCAUGCCAAUGGCACUGCCCGGUAGCUAAAUGCGGAAGAGAUAAGUGCUGAAAGCAUCUAAGCACGAAACUUGCCCCGAGAUGAGUUCUCCCUGACCCUUUAAGGGUCCUGAAGGAACGUUGAAGACGACGACGUUGAUAGGCCGGGUGUGUAAGCGCAGCGAUGCGUUGAGCUAACCGGUACUAAUGAACCGUGAGGCUUAACCU
rnacentral:rRNA from 1 species